AUACAAACACAUGUUAAAUUUGAGUUUGGGUUUGGUUGAGCUGAAGGCUUGAGCUGCUCUCGCAACAAGAGCGAGUCAUCGCGUGCCACCCGGGCGAUAGACUAGGAACAGCUCACUCGGAGGCCUUUCUUGGGCAUCGAGCAACUGACUUAGAACUGGUACAGGCAAGGGGAAUCUGACUAUUUAAUUAAAACAAAGUAUUGCAAUGGUCCCUACGAAUGCUAAUACAAUGUGAUUUAUGUCUUUCUAAAUGUCAAAGUGAAGAAAUUCAACCAACUGCGGGUAAACGAUGGGAGUAAUUAUGACUCUCUUAAGGUAGCCAAAUGCCUUGUGUCUUGUUAUCUAAUUAUUGAUGCACAUGAAUGGAUUAACGAGAUUCCCAUUG
rnacentral:ncRNA from 1 species